rnacentral:rRNA from 1 species
ACGCUGGCGGCACGCCUAACACAUGCAAGUCGAACGAAGUAGCAAUACUUAGUGGCAGACGGGUGAGUAACAUGUAGGUAUCUGCCCUUUGGCCUGGAAUAACACGAGGAAACUUGUGCUAAUACCGGAUAAGUCUUUACGGAGAAAGCUUUAUGCACCAUUGGAUGAGCCUGCACUUGAUUAGUUUGUUGGUGGGGUAAUGGCCUACCAAGACUUUGAUCAAUAGCUGAUUUGAGAGGAUGAUCAGCCACAUUGGGACUGAGACACGGCCCAAACUCCUACGGGAGGCAGCAGUGGGGAAUCUUGCACAAUGGAGGAAACUCUGAUGCAGCGAUGCCGCGUGAGUGAAGAAGGCCCUUGGGUUGUAAAGCUCUUUCGUCGGGGAAGAAAAUGACUGUACCCGAAUAAGAAGGUCCGGCUAACUUCGUGCCAGCAGCCGCGGUAAUACGAAGGGACCUAGCGUAGUUCGGAAUUACUGGGCUUAAAGAGUUCGUAGGUGGUUGAAAAAGUUGGUGGUGAAAUCCCAGAGCUUAACUCUGGAACUGCCAUCAAAACUUUUCAGCUAGAGUAUGAUAGAGGAAAGCAGAAUUUCUAGUGUAGAGGUGAAAUUCGUAGAUAUUAGAAAGAAUACCAAUUGCGAAGGCAGCUUUCUGGAUCAUUACUGACACUGAGGAACGAAAGCAUGGGUAGCGAAGAGGAUUAGAUACCCUCGUAGUCCAUGCCGUAAACGAUGUGUGUUAGACGUUGGAAAUUUAUUUUCAGUGUCGCAGCGAAAGCGAUAAACACACCGCCUGGGGAGUACG